rnacentral:rRNA from 1 species
AUCUAUGGAUGAAAGCGGGGGAUCGCAAGACCUCGCGCGAUUGGAGCGGCCGAUAUCAGAUUAGCUAGUUGGUGAGGUAAAGGCUCACCAAGGCGACGAUCUGUAGCUGGUCUGAGAGGACGACCAGCCACACUGGAACUGAGACACGGUCCAGACUCCUACGGGAGGCAGCAGUGGGGAAUUUUGGACAAUGGGCGCAAGCCUGAUCCAGCAAUGCCGCGUGCAGGAUGAAGGCCUUCGGGUUGUAAACUGCUUUUGUACGGAACGAAACGGUCCUUUCUAAUACAAGGGGCUAAUGACGGUACCGUAAGAAUAAGCACCGGCUAACUACGUGCCAGCAGCCGCGGUAAUACGUAGGGUGCGAGCGUUAAUCGGAAUUACUGGGCGUAAAGCGUGCGCAGGCGGUUAUAUAAGACAGAUGUGAAAUCCCCGGGCUCAACCUGGGACCUGCAUUUGUGACUGUAUAGCUAGAGUACGGUAGAGGGGGAUGGAAUUCCGCGUGUAGCAGUGAAAUGCGUAGAUAUGCGGAGGAACACCGAUGGCGAAGGCAAUCCCCUGGACCUGUACUGACGCUCAUGCACGAAAGCGUGGGGAGCAAACAGGAUUAGAUACCCUGGUAGUCCACGCCCUAAACGAUGUCAACUGGUUGUUGGGUCUUCACUGACUCAGUAACGAAGCUAACGCGUGAAGUUGACCGCCU